rnacentral:rRNA from 1 species
AAUGCAAGUCGAGCGGAAGAUGGGAGCUUGCUCCCUGAUGUUAGCGGCGGACGGGUGAGUAACACGUGGGUAACCUGCCUGUAAGACUGGGAUAACUCCGGGAAACCGGGGCUAAUACCGGAUGGUUGUCUGAACCGCAUGGUUCAGACAUAAAAGGUGGCUUCGGCUACCACUUACAGAUGGACCCGCGGCGCAUUAGCUAGUUGGUGAGGUAACGGCUCACCAAGGCGACGAUGCGUAGCCGACCUGAGAGGGUGAUCGGCCACACUGGGACUGAGACACGGCCCAGACUCCUACGGGAGGCAGCAGUAGGGAAUCUUCCGCAAUGGACGAAAGUCUGACGGAGCAACGCCGCGUGAGUGAUGAAGGUUUUCGGAUCGUAAAGCUCUGUUGUUAGGGAAGAACAAGUGCCGUUCAAAUAGGGCGGCACCUUGACGGUACCUAACCAGAAAGCCACGGCUAACUACGUGCCAGCAGCCGCGGUAAUACGUAGGUGGCAAGCGUUGUCCGGAAUUAUUGGGCGUAAAGGGCUCGCAGGCGGUUUCUUAAGUCUGAUGUGAAAGCCCCCGGCUCAACCGGGGAGGGUCAUUGGAAACUGGGGAACUUGAGUGCAGAAGAGGAGAGUGGAAUUCCACGUGUAGCGGUGAAAUGCGUAGAGAUGUGGAGGAACACCAGUGGCGAAGGCGACUCUCUGGUCUGUAACUGACGCUGAGGAGCGAAAGCGUGGGGAGCGAACAGGAUUAGAUACCCUGGUAGUCCACGCCGUAAACGAUGAGUGCUAAGUGUUAGGGGGUUUCCGCCCCUUAGUGCUGCAGCUAACGCAUUAAGCACUCCGCCUGGGGAGUACGGUCGCAAGACUGAAACUCAAAGGAAUUGACGGGGGCCCGCACAAGCGGUGGAGCAUGUGGUUUAAUUCGAAGCAACGCGAAGAACCUUACCAGGUCUUGACAUCCUCUGACAAUCCUAGAGAUAGGACGUCCCCUUCGGGGGCAGAGUGACAGGUGGUGCAUGGUUGUCGUCAGCUCGUGUCGUGAGAUGUUGGGUUAAGUCCCGCACCGAGCGCAACCCUUGAUCUUAGUUGCCAGCAUUCAGUUGGGCACUCUAAGGUGACUGCCGGUGACAAACCGAAAAGGUGGGGAUGACGUCGAAUCAUCAUGCCCCUUAUGGCUGGGCUACAA